GCUACUGCCAUCAGAGUUCGAUUAAGCCAUGUUAGUCGAGGGUACCUCUUCUUCUUCGGAGGAUGAGGUAACCCGGCGGACGGCUCAGUAACACGUGGAUAACUUGCCCUUGGGUCUGGGAUAACCCCUGGGAAACUGGGGCUAAUACCGGAUAGAGCAUCGAUCGCUGGAAUGCAUGAUGCUCGAAAACUACGGUGCCCAAGGAUAGGUCUGCGGCUGAUUAGGUUGUUGUUGAUGUAAUGGACCAACAAGCCUACGAUCGGUACGGGUUGUGAGAGCAAUAGCCCGGAGAUGGGUUCUGAGAAAAGAACCCAGGUCCUACGGGACGCAUCAGGCGCGAAAACUUUACAAUGUGCGAAAGCACGAUAAGGGAACUCUGAGUGCCCCCUAAGGGGGCUGUUCUAGUGUCUAAAAAGCAAUAGAAGUAAGGGCUGGGCAAGACCGGUGCCAGCCGCCGCGGUAACACCGGCAGCCCAAGUGGUAGCCACGUUUAUUGGGUCUAAAGCGUUCGUAGCCGGCUUGGUAAGUUCCUUGGUAAAUUUAGCCGCUUAACGGUUAAGCUUUCAGGGAAUACUGCUUGGCUUGGGACUGGGAGAGGUCAGAGGUACUCCAGGGGUAGGGGUGAAAUCCAUUAAUCCUUGGGGGACCACCGGUAGCGAAGGCGUCUGACCAGACCAGCUCCGACGGUGAGGGACGAAGGCUAGGGGCGCGAACCGGAUUAGAUACCCGGGUAGUCCUAGCUGUAAACGAUGCGGGCUAGGUGUUGGCAUUACUGCGAGUGGUGCCAGUGCCGAAGGGAAGCCGUUAAGCUCGCCAUCUGGGGAGUACGGUCGCAAGGCUUAAACUUAAAGGAAUUGGCGGGGGAGCACCACAACGGGUGGAGCCUGCGGUUCAAUUGGAUCAACGCCGGGA
rnacentral:rRNA from 1 species